rnacentral:misc_RNA from 1 species
AACUCUGCGCAGCCGCAGCUCACCGACAUCUUGUGCGAUUCGAUUCGACCCGAACGUUUUAUUUUCGCCCCGAUUACCGACCUUCGCUGAAGAGGACAUGUAAUACAUGUCGAAAGCUCCGACCGAAAACGAUUCUCUUGUGGACUUGCCACGAUGUACUGCCUUCAGUGGCUCAUACCGGUGCUGCUCAUACCGAAGCCUCUGAACCCGGCAAUGCUUCACAACCACAUCAUGUUCGUCAUACUCUACCUGGUUGGCUUUUUCUUGGAGAAGAAGCCCUGCACCAUCUGCAGUCUGGUGUUUUUCGCAGCGGUCCUCUUGAUUUGCUAUUCCGGCAUCGGUAACUGCCUAUUCUGGGGCACCAACUGCGACUCGGUUGUCUGUGACAACGGCUAGUGUGGGGUGCCGAGAUGGGCGGCAGGGCGCGGCGCUCGCCGGUACAACGGCUAGUGUGGGGUGCCGAGAUGGGCGGCAGGGCGCGGCGCUCGCCGGUACUUGUGAUACACGAUGUGGUCUGGGCCGACGUGCCCGGCUGGUGGCGGCACCGGUCUCCUGGCGACCACCGGUCCAGCUGGUCGCCAGGCCGCCUCGCCGUAUGACCUGUGCUGAGAUGUUUGUGGGAAGGUUGUUUGCGACUGUGUAUGUAUAUCCAACUGAGCCUAGUCUUGAUCUGUGAAGUGCGGCGACGUGAAGCGAGAGUCGGUGUACCUGCUUCGGACGGCUGUGCUCUAGUGUUGCGGCUCGAGUAUUGUGGCGCUGGGAUGGACUCCAUCCGGCCCGAUGGCCGCCAUUGAACCGACCGGGCGGGGCCAGCCUGCAGGCACUGCCAAACCAGUCAGCACCGUCUUUCGUCUCCCCCACCAGACAAAUGUUCUGAUCCCCGAUAUCUAGGCGUCAUACUUUUGAGAUGUAAAUGUUGGCGUGUCUGAGUUGUGUCUCGUGGUCCAUAAGAGCUGGCUGUUAUUUCUGGGCUCUCAUUGACCUGAGACGAAUCCCAUUGCUUUUCGUACCUACGUGCUAGACUGAUGAUGCGUGCUGGUUCAGUGUCUUGAGAGAGCCAUUAGAAGUGGACUUAUCCUUUUUCAUUCACGUGUGAGCGACAACUUAAACUGCUCUGACGUAAUACACAUCAUUCGUCUUGCG